rnacentral:rRNA from 1 species
AUUGAACGCUGGCGACAGGCCUAACACAUGCAAGUCGAGCGAGCGGCGGACGGGUGAGUAAUGUCUGGGAAACUGCCUGAUGGAGGGGGAUAACUACUGGAAACGGUAGCUAAUACCGCAUACCAUCAGAUGUGCCCAGAGGGGAUUAGCUCGUAGGUGGGGUAACGGCUCACCUAGGCGACGAUCCCUAGCUGGUCUGAGAGGAUGACCAGCCACACUGGAACUGAGACACGGUCCAUACUCCGACGGGAGGCAGAAGUGGGGAAUAUUGCACAAUGGGCGCAAGCCUGAUGCAGCCAUGCCGCGUGUGUGAAGAAGGCCUUCGGGUUGUAAAGUACUUGCAGCGGGGAGGCGUUACCCGCAGAAGAAGCACCGGCUAACUCCGUGCCAGCCGCCGCGGUAAUAC